rnacentral:rRNA from 1 species
AACGAACGCUGGCGGCAGGCUUAACACAUGCAAGUCGAACGCAUCCUUCGGGGUGAGUGGCAGACGGGUGAGUAACGCGUGGGAACGUGCCCUUCAGUUCGGGAUAACCCAGGGAAACUUGGGCUAAUACCGGAUACGUGCGAGAGCAGAAAGAUUUAUCGCUGAAGGAUCGGCCCGCGUCUGAUUAGCUAGUGGGUGGGGUAAUGGCCCACCAAGGCGACGAUCAGUAGCUGGUCUGAGAGGAUGAUCAGCCACAUUGGGCCUGAGACACGGCCCAUACUCCUACGGGAGGCAGCAGUGGGGAAUAUUGGACAAUGGGCGCAAGCCUGAUCCAGCCAUGCCGCGUGAGUGAUGAAGGCCUUAGGGUUGUAAAGCUCUUUCGUCCGGGACGAUAAUGACGGUACCGGAAGAAGAAGCCCCGGCUAACUUCGUGCCAGCCGCCGCAGUAA